UUGCAGGUGUGUGUGUGUUUGGGUAUAUUGUAGGUGUAUAUGUGGAUUGGUACAUGUAGGUGUGUGUACAUGUGGAUUGGUGCAUGUAGGUAGGUGCUUGCUAUUCUGGGCUGGGGAAACUCACAGGGGACCAUGGUUCAGAUCACAAGAAGUUGUCCAGGAGGCCUGAGAGUCCUCAAGGCUCAUAAGUCCAGUCACUUUACAGUAUGAGGACACUGAGGUCUAGGGUAGCUGUCUCUGGCUGGUCUCCAGGUCUGGCUUAGAGGCUCUACCCAAAGCAACCUCACAGCGCCAUGAAAAGCAGUCUGUACAGCAUUCUUAGUGUGGUGGCCAAAGAGUAGAGCCGAGGCUCCGCUCCUAAGAGUGCACUGUCUUUGCAGGAGUUUGGGGGCCUUUGUGCUGGAGUAGGGGGUGCAUGUGCUGGAGCUUGGUUUGGAAUUUGGGAUAAGAGUGGGGCUCUCAGUGCCAAACAGUAAUUUUCUAUUUACUUGUUGGGUGACCUUGGGCAAGUCUUUCUGCCUCCAUGAUUCUGCUUCUCCAUCUGAGAAAUGGACAGAACAACAGCAUCUAUCUCAGGGGGUGUGGAGGAAAUUAAGCAAGUUGAUAGUAAGUAAGCAAACACCCUGGUUUAGGAUGACAACUCUCUUUCCCCUCCUUCUUCCGAGUUGGAAGACUGCCCAUUUUGCAAGAGCAUUUGCAUGUCUGUGUGUCUGAGGCCCUGGGUUGGAUUCCCAGCAUUAUAGAAAAAUGGGUGUGGUGGUCUAUCCUUGUAAUUCUCAACAUUCUGCACAGAUUCCCAGUGUGGAGGCAGGUGCGCCAGGAGUUCAAAGUCAUCUUUAGUUACCAGUAACAGUGUCCCCUGCCCCGCUGAACUGGGACUGGGGGACAAAUGGUUGCUGAAGCCUCUUCAAAGAACAAGGAUAGGUCUGGUGGGUAGCUAGUUCUGGUUUUGGGGUGGUCAGGAUCAGGGUGCCCUCGUUACAAAGCCCCCUUUGUCAGGAAAGCCCACCUCAUGUACUGCUCACAUAUCUUGCUCUGAGUACUGGUCUAGGGUGCCUGGUCCUUAUUUAUGGCUUGGGUCUCAAAAAUUUUCUGACUGCAUCAGACCCUGGGCAAUGGGGGACCUCAAGGAGAUAAACGCUGCUGGGGUCUGGGCCAUUGUCCCUAAACCAUAGAGCCUCUCCCUGGAAAGACAAUGCAGUCUCUACAGAGGCCCCUUCCACAGGGCACUGGACAGAGUACCAGCUGUGAAUGAUGGUUUCACCAUGGUGGCCAUUCAGCCAACGAGUGUUUAUCACACACCUCCUCAGCCAAGGUUUUUCUUGGUCUGUGAAAAGCAGGGGGAGCCCCCAGCUGGUGAUGCAUCCAUUCUAAUGGAUGGGAAGGUGUAAAUAAACAACGGGGUUGUCACAGUUACAAAUGAGACAGAGGGAACUGGUGCAGGCUAGUGAAUCUGGGUUCUGGGAGCAGGUGCACACGGAGGACAGAGAUUGACAGAGGGUGUCAUCCUUGACCCCGUUCUACUUUAUUCACCAAGGCUAGAUCUCUUCCUGCAUCGUCCUGGGAGCAAGAAAGGGAGGCUGCAUGCUUCGGUGGUGUGGGCGGUAGGGUCUUCUGAGAAGCCAUUUGAGUGAAGUUCUGCAAGGUGGUCAUGUAGACAGUGGUUGAGAGGGUCCUGGGGAUGCCCAACAGUGGUCAGCAGGACUGGGCAUCACACUGCUGGUAACAUGAAAGCCCAAAUAGAUCUCCAGUCCCAGCUUAUUUAACAGCUCAUUGCAGGUGUACCCCCAUACGGUGAAUUUGAGGUUCAAGAUGCUUCCACUGCUCUUCAACAUCUCACCUCCGUUAUCAGGAUAGAGAUGGGUAGGAUCUUGAUCUGAAGUUUCUUGGUCAUCUUUUCUUUGUUGAAGAGACCUAAUCAUAUGGCCUCCAUUCAACCAGGGGUUUCUGGGAGAUGUAGUCUCUGGACAGGCAGCAGCCUCCCGGCUCCAGCUUCAUAUGAUAGAGUAUGGACACUUAGUGGGCUUUUUGCUUUGGCCCUGGGUGGCUGCAGCAGAAACAAAACUGGAGGCAACAGGAACUGGAGUCACUAUAAUCUCACAGGGUUAAUACAGGUUAGCGGGUCUAUGGCUUGUCCCCUUCCUGUCCUCCCUUAUCCUUGUGCAUUCCCUGUGGUGUGCAUACACACGUGCUUGUUCACAUGUAUGUGGGUAAGCAUGUAUGUAUGUGUACAUGCUUGUGUGUGCACAUGCAUUUGGAGGUCAGAGGUUGACAUCAGGUGUCUUUUCACAGGAUCUCUUGCUCCCAGGGUCCACCAAUUAGGCAAGUCUGGCUAGGCAGCUUGCUCAGGGGUCCUUGUCACCUGAGGCCUGGGAGUACAGGCUGUCACAACCUACUCUUCUUUUAUAUUCUGAGGCAAGCAUUACUGAGCCACCUCUCCAUUCAGUCCCCUCCGUUUUAUUGGCUUUUUUUUUUUUUUUAAAGACUAAAUUUUGUGAUAAAGGCUGAUUUUAACAGGAUGACCUUGAGUUCCUGGUCAUUUAUCUUUUGAAUCUGCCUGUCGCCUUGUUCUGAGUGACUUGGGAAGCUCUGAACAUCAGGAUCAGCUCUACCUGGUGUUCUAACAAAACUCCAUGGGCGCCAUAUGCGGAGGUGGGGCAGGGCCGCCAUUUGCUGAGUGUGUGAACGGGUCUGGCCUCAGUUCCUGGUACUACGAGAAGUGGAGGAAAAGUCCUCAGACAUGGAGGAGAAAAGCAAAGGAGGAGGUAGGCUGAGGAGAAAGACGAGCCAAGGUCCCUCAGCACUGGGAAGGACUGCCACUGAAACGACACAGUGUGGCUGUAGCCUGGAUGGCAGUGGAGGCUGGCAUGCGGGCAUGCUGAGGACUCCCUUCCACCAGGUAGAAAUGGGACUCUCAGUGCUUCCCUCCACCCUCUGCAAAAGAGGGAGGGCCACACUUCCUCCAGGUGGCUGCAGAAUUACCUCAAGUGGCCAUGAGCGGCCCAAGUCGAGAGGAGUGGUGGGCAGUCGCAGGCAGCGAGAGGCAGCUUGUGGCAGAGGAGAUGGUGGCUGGGGGUGGGGAAGGUGGGGGUUUUUUAGGCCCCUUGAGCUCCUCCAUGUUACAUUCAGGGUGAUAGCUUCCUCCUCGGCUACCCAAGACCACAGCCAAGGCUAGUGCUGUUUUGAUGCUGGGCCUGUGGCCAGCUCCAGUCCAGGAGAGGGCUAUACUAUGACCUGAGGUUUGGGUUCUGGACCUGGCUUCAGUAUACCUUGCCAUGGAGCUCGGUAUGGGAACCUCUGAGCCCCGGUUUCUCAGGACACCUGAGCUGUGGCAUGAGACUUAGCACAGAGCUACAGGAAAUGACAGGAUCUUGCUGCUGUCCUGCUUAGUGGGGAUGUGUACUACAAACUUGUUGAAAAAACACAAUCCAAAGCAGUAAUACUUUAUUCCCAUCAGUGCUGCUGAUAGGCUGACCCUUUACAACAGUAGGGAGAGAUGAGGGUGGGGCCAGAGGAGGUUCCAUAACCUCAUCACCCCAACCCUGCACCAUCUCCACCUGCCAUUGUCAGUGCCUCCUCCCUACCAGUGGUGAGGGGUUCGGCAGAGGCC
rnacentral:sRNA from 1 species